rnacentral:rRNA from 1 species
UACGUAGGGUGCAAGCGUUAAUCGGAAUUACUGGGCGUAAAGCGUGCGCAGGCGGUGAUGUAAGACAGAUGUGAAAUCCCCGGGCUCAACCUGGGAACUGCAUUUGUGACUGCAUCGCUGGAGUACGGCAGAGGGGGAUGGAAUUCCGCGUGUAGCAGUAAAAUGCGUAGAUAUGCGGAGGAACACCGAUGGCGAAGGCAAUCCCCUGGGCCUGUACUGACGCUCAUGCACGAAAGCGUGGGGAGCAAACAGG